AUAUAUAUAUUAUUGGACAAAUUCCCAAAAUAUCUGGCCUCUGCCCCACCGCCGCGCCGCUGCGGCCAGCCGUCUCGGCGUCGUCCUCGCCGCACCGCUUCCGCCACGCGGGGCUUCCCCUCCCUCCUCCCCCGCAUGGGCCCUCGCCCACCGUCUCCACCACAGCCCACGCCGUUGCUGUUGUUUACGUCUCCGUGCGGCGGGCGGAAGCAGACGGGAGCGUGCUCCUUCAGCGCAGACGGUGACGAGGCCGAGGCCGUAGAGGACGACGAUGGAAACGAGAGCAAGGAAGACGAACCCUCGCCAUUCGAUGUGAGGUCUUUACCUUCGGAUGAUCUUCCAGAUGUCAACAAUCAUUUCUCUGAUAGAAAAUUGUCGAUGCUUUACUCAGCUGAACCAAAUAAAAAGCCAGGACAACAUCAACUACUAAUGAAGGGGUGGGAAAAGAAAUCAUUAAAAUCUGCACAAAGCUUGAUACUUUCAAAUGGUUCAGUGAAGGUUGAUGAGGAAAUCAUCUCAAAGAAAACACACUCCAAAGAUCAUCAAUACAACUUAAAUCGAUCUUCCAAAAUGGAGCAUGUUGAUUUAGAGAACACUUCAAAGGAGACAUAUGCCUUGCGUUAAGAUAGAUAUGUCUUCCACUCAGGAAGGUUGGAGUUCUUGUUGAUUGUUGAUGUCAAACAUGGAGAUAUAAAAGGAAACUUAUAAGUCAGCCUCAAAUUUUGGAGCACACUGUCGAAAACACUCUUGAGUCUCAUGUUGCUUUUUUAGUUAGUAUAGAUUCUUGUACAGGAUAGAUUAUAACUGCAGCCCCAUCUUUGUUCUCUUAUAGCAUCGAGCACUCUUUAAAGCCCACAAUCAGGUAUUUGGUUGAAGAGGUUGGUAUCAGAAGUGAUAUCAUCAAAGUUGUGUGGUUGAGCCCCCAGAUUCUUGUCCAGAGGAUUGAAAACUCAGGGACUUCACGUUUCUCCUUGCUGUCAAGAGAAUUAGGGGCACCUAAAGAUAGCAUAGUCAAGUUGGCUACCCCACAACUCCUCCACAGUAUUGAUGAUGGAGUACUACUUAGAAUAAACUCUCCAGGAGCAUCAGCCUGUGCAACUCUGAUAUCCUGAAAGUGUUAACAAGCCACUAAGGUAUUAUCUUUGUCACUGGAGGUGCCUACGAUCAUCUAGAGCUUCAGAGUUAAAUCAUUAACAUUAUAUGGUCAUGAUUUGAUACAUUUCCCAGGCAAAUCAAUUACUUCGAGUGGAGAAUAAUAAUGAGGUCAGUUAUUCUUUUUAUCAUUAUAUGAGUUCAAAGAUUUUCCAUCACAUUGGAAGUAUGUCAUUGUUGUUCAGUUUUCUUUUUAGGAGAUUGAUGAGUCUAUUACCAUGUUCUAUUGCUGACCAAUCUGCAGACACAGUUGCAGGCCUUUGGUUCAUAUUCUCUCAUCCCAUUACAACAUUUGAGACUGGAUUAUAUGCAUCAAACUUCAUAAUUAGGAAACCCAGUUAGGAAUGAAAAACAACCUGAAUUCCAGCUUCUUGGAUUAAGCUGGAGAUAAUUACAUGCUGUAACUAUACAUUCAUCAAAGCAGAAGGAAUUAUCUGAUAUUAGAUGGAAAGCUGCAAGAAAUGUCACAAUGUAUGAUCACCAGGACAAUUGGCCAUCUCUUUGUUAUUUGCAACUAGCAUUAAAAUAUGCAAUGAAAGUUCAACAAUUAGUGAUGUAUGCUAUACCAUCUCAUGUUUCAAACACAACAACUUUGUUUCUAGUUCAGAUAGUUCACUUCUUUCAUCUAUUACAAUAAAUUAGCCAUUUCUCUUCUAAAUGAACUGACAUCCUGCUUCAGUAUCUACAACGAGAGAGGUGUAUUGCUUCCUUUUAAAGGUGUAGCUGUAUCUUCCUAGGCUUCUCACAGUAACAAAUGGAGAAGCAUUUAUCUUCUGUUGUUGAGUACAGAGCUCAGGGAACCCCCAUUGAUUCAGACAAUGUACCAAAUCAUUGAUGGAAUGGCAAGCUUCCAUUCCCUGUUCUCUUCAGAGUGUUCAUAUGACUGCAGAAAUGCUGCUUCCUACUGGUGGAGAUGCAAAAGGGCUCUCCGGGAGUUCAACGCUACUGCAUACACCAGCAAAAAACCUCAUGAGAAAAAUCAUGUCAACGAGUAUGUCAAGCAAAGAGAUGAUGACCGAGAACAGUAAACUACAUCAGUAAACAGUCUAAAAUGUAAUGAUCUUUUCUUGAACUGUUCAUAAGAUUUAUGAGAAGAGUGAUGACAAGUUGCAGAGCUUCCGGUUAAUGAUCAUUGUGGAAAACUAAGAUGAGGAGACCUGUAAUUGCAAGUCACUCAAUGAUGUUGUUUUAGGUCAAACAACAAAUGUAUAUCUUAAAUAUUAAUAUUUCACUCACCUUUCCUGGUCA